CCUACGGGAGGCAGCAGUAGGGAAUCUUCCGCAAUGGACGAAAGUCUGACGGAGCAACGCCGCGUGAACGAUGAAGGCCUUCGGGUCGUAAAGUUCUGUUGUUAGGGAAGAACAAGUGCUAGUUAAAUAAGCUGGCACCUUGACGGUACCUAACCAGAAAGCCACGGCUAACUACGUGCCAGCAGCCGCGGUAAUACGUAGGUGGCAAGCGUUGUCCGGAAUUAUUGGGCGUAAAGCGCGCGCAGGCGGUUUCUUAAGUCUGAUGUGAAAGCCCCCGGCUCAACCGGGGAGGGUCAUUGGAAACUGGGAAACUUGAGUGCAGAAGAGGAAAGUGGAAUUCCAAGUGUAGCAGUGAAAUGCGUAGAGAUUUGGAGGAACACCAGUGGCGAAGGCGACUUUCUGGUCUGUAACUGACGCUGAGGCGCGAAAGCGUGGGGAGCAAACAGGAUUAGAUACCCUGGUAGUCCACGCUGUAAACGAUGAGUGCUAAGUGUUAGAGGGUUUCCGCCCUUUAGUGCUGAAGUUAACGCAUUAAGCACUCCGCCUGGGGAGUCGGUCGCAAGACUGAACUCAAAGGAAUUGACGG
rnacentral:rRNA from 1 species